GUAUUUAUAUGCGUUAUAUCGCAAGUAGACAUUCUAAACUUUAUAUAGUGUGUGUAAAACAUGAGUAUAUGCGCCUUCCAGAGGUCGUUAUCCAACCCCCUUCCGGCCCUUAUACCCACAAUAGGUGCACAGGUGUAGAUGGAUGAGCAAGGCCGAGCACAUGCCCCGGAGGGCCAGCUACAAGCCUCUUUCAAACUCGAUAAUGAUCCUUCCGCAGGUUCACCUACGGAAA
rnacentral:misc_RNA from 1 species